rnacentral:rRNA from 1 species
CCUACGGGAGGCAGCAGUGGGGGAUAUUGCACAAUGGGGGCAACCCUGAUGCAGCGACGCCGCGUGGGCGAAGAAGUAUUUCGGUAUGUAAAGCCCUAUCAGCAGGGACGAAGAAAUUACGGUACCUGAGUAAGAAGCACCGGCUAAAUACGUGCCAGCAGCCGCGGUAAUACGUAGGGUGCAAGCGUUAUCCGGAUUUACUGGGUGUAAAGGGAGCGCAGGCGGGAGGGCAAGCCUGAUGUGAAAGCCCGCGGCCCAACCGCGGGACUGCAUUGGGAACUACCGGGCUUGAGUGCCGGAGAGGUAGGCGGAAUUCCGAGUGUAGCGGUGAAAUGCGUAGAUAUAAGGAGGAACACCAGUGGCGAAGGCGGACUACUGGACGGUGACUGACGCUGAGGCUCGAAAGCGUGGGGAGCAAACAGGAUUAGAUACCCUUGUAGUC